UUACGGCUAUAUCACAUUGAAACACAGGUUCCCAUACGAUCACUAAAGUUAAGCAAUGUAAAGCCUGGUCAGUACCUAGAUGGGUUACCUUUUAGGAAUAGCAGGUGCUAUA